CAAUAGCGUAUAUUAAAGUUGUUGCAGUUAAAAAGCUCGUAGUUGGAUUUGUGGCUGUCACGGGCGGCCUAUCACUUAGUGCUAGUGCUUGCCUGUGUCGCCAUCCUUGGGUGGAGCCCGUGUGGCAUUAGGUUGUCGUGCGGGGGAUGCCCAUCGUUUACUGUGAGAAAAUUAGAGUGUUCAAAGCAGGCUUAUGCCAUUGAAUAUGUUAGCAUGGAAUAAUAAGAUAGGACCUCGGUACUAUUUUGUUGGUUUGCGCACCGAGGUAAUGAUUAAUAGGGACAGUUGGGGGUAUUCGUAUUUCAUUGUCAGAGGUGAAAUUCUUGGAUUUCUGAAAGACGAACUACUGCGAAAGCAUUUACCAAGGAUGUUUUCAUUAA
rnacentral:rRNA from 1 species